rnacentral:rRNA from 1 species
UACGGAGGGGGCUAGCGUUGUUCGGAAUUACUGGGCGUAAAGGGUGCGUAGGCGGCGCGGUAAGUCGGGUGUGAAAUCUCGGGGCUUAACUCCGAAACUGCAUUCGAUACUGCCGUGCUUGAGGACUGGAGAGGAGACUGGAAUUUACGGUGUAGCGGUGAAAUGCGUAGAUAUCGUAAGGAAGACCAGUGGCGAAGGCGGGUCUCUGGACAGUUCCUGACGCUGAGGCACGAAGGCCAGGGGAGCAAACGGGG